rnacentral:lncRNA from 1 species
GGGCUCCACAUUGGGUUGGGAAAUAUUAUUUUGUUCUCAAGUCAAAUGUCUACUCAAGUUUCCCUCCUAACACUCCAGAGAGCCCUAGAAAGCAGAAAAGAGAUAGAAGGCUCAGGUAGGAGGAAAUAAGAACUAUGAAGCUGCAGAAGGGAGGUAUUUCCCUUUUGUGAUGCUCUGAACUUAGUCUGGUUUGCAUUGUGUACCUCUGCAGAUGGCCUCUUCUUUCCUAAUGGGGCUGUUGCCAUGUUGCUGCUUAGCAUCCCCGGAUCUGAGCAAGGAUUCCUCCCGCCUCCCCCCCCCCAGGAGUACUGGUGACUCAGCUCCUCUUCUCUGACUGCAGUUGAGGGGGGGGGAUGCUGAAAGCAGAGACUAUUUUGGCUUCUCUGACCUUCAAAAGCAGUCUUGGCAGCCAGGGGCAAGGGUGGGGCCGUUGCUGU